AAAGGCAGCAGCAACACUGUGUAAAAGAAAAUGAGUUUGACAUGAUAAAUUACAUGCAUGCACACCCAGUGUGCAGUGUAAGCACUCAAAAGGAGCCAAUAGAAGCUACUAUAUAUUGGCCAAUUAGACCUCCACAAAAAAAGGUGUUAUUUGAGGGCACCACACUGUGGGCCUUAACAAGGAGGCGGUAGAUAGGGGUUCACUCUUUUUACCCUAUCAAUAAGGCUAAAGAGAGGGGGAGUGGCACUAUGUUGGGCAAUCGGCUCUAGACAUUUGAGCAGGCAUAAGGCAAUUAUCACAUAGUGCUUGGCUUUCAAGGCUGUGAGAGGUUCCUCCAGUAGCUACUGGAACUCCAGAUAGAGAAGUGUUUUGCAGCUUGCUAGAAGCAGUAUCAGAAAGGGGAGGCUGUUCUCCACCACUGUGACCUGGACAGGCCCCCCCCCCCCCAGGCCCUGUUCCUUGAUACUGGUAAUGUCCUUGUUUAUCUCACCUAUUUCCCAAGCUACUUCCUAAGCAGAAAAAAGAUAAGGGAAUUUAAUUACACAAUAGCAACUACUCCUUUAAUUUAUGAGUGUUUUGAUCACAAAACUGACUGACUGUUGACUGUGUCAGCCACAGGCUGCCUGGCCUUCAGCAGCAGAAGAGAUUUGACUUGAUGGAUAUCUGUCUCCCCAUAACCAAGCUCUGGGAAGGACAGUUUAACACAAUGCAGAAGACUAGCUUGUUCUUAAAGCGGUGACAAGUAAAUGGUGACAUUGCCAAAUCAUAUCAGUAGGGUCUGGAUCUUCACCACAGGGAUUUGUGACAUCCAAGAAGUCAGCAAACAAAGGAUGGCAUUGCGAGUCUUCCUGUAUUCUGUCAAGGACUUCUCAGUCUUCAUGAUUGCUGUGUUGCUGUGGUGUAGCAGCUGUCUUGUUGCUGAUGUCCAAAGCUAGGGGUGCAUAAUAUCUUCUACUAAACCAUACAAGCCUGAGGCUCUGCAUUCAGAAACAAAAAAGGAACCUAUGCAUCAUGAAAGAGAUGUAUCCAGGGAAUGAGUGCCUCUUUUGACAAGUGUUUCUGACAAUUGACAAACUGUUGCCUGCCAUGUGAAUCCGAGGAGUGACUGAUGUUAGCAAACUCACCUCUCAAUUCCCCUAGAUAGCACUGGAAACCUGAUGGCAGGUAGAGACAAACAUUGCCACUGCUGCCAGGUUGCCCUUCCAGAGACUGUGAGAGAGCUUGGAUAGAAGCUGAGCAGCAAACGUGAGGCUUUCCCAGCAGGUGGCUGGGCAUUCUGAAGAUGCUGGCUCUAAUUAUCAAAUCCUCUGUUUCAGGUGACAAACAGCCCGUAAAUCUGAGCAUCAAGCAUCUGUCCUUGCUAGUGAGCUCUUAAGUUAAUAUGGGUAGAAGAUAUUCUCUCCUAUAACCACCAAAAAAUAUAGGUGAAAAAGUGUUAGUAACUGCUUGUACAAAUCUGGACUUAAGCCUGAACUAUGUCAAUUGGCAUUAAAGUACAUUACUUUUUUUGCAAUGUCAUGUCACCCUGAGAUGCACAACAUGAAUAUACCACCAGCUCAAUGGAACCAAACUUUCCAUUUUCUGCCCAUUUGUGCCCUGCAAAGACAGGCCACAUCAGGAACAACAGAUAUCUUGGUAUCUAUUGCUUAUGCUUCUGCUAGAAUUUUAUUCCUAUUUUGAAAAUGUGAUGGUAUUGUCUGUAUUCUGUCUAACACAUACUAAAACAUCCCUCUGAUGUUAACUGCAUAUGCAGACAUAUAUUAAAUAAAAGCAUGAUUAUUAUUAUUAUUAUUUUUUUU
ensembl:lncRNA